GAUGAACGCUAGCGGGAGGCUUAACACAUGCAAGUCGAGGGGCAGCACGAGGUAGCAAUACUUUGGUGGCGACCGGCGCACGGGUGAGUAACGCGUAUGCAACCUACCCUGUACAGGGGGAUAACCCGGAGAAAUUCGGACUAAUACCCCAUAAAGAUAUUUGGAGGCAUCUUUGAAUAUUUAAAGUUCCGGCGGUACGGGAUGGGCAUGCGUGACAUUAGCUAGUUGGUAGGGUAAUGGCCUACCAAGGCUUCGAUGUCUAGGGGUCCUGAGAGGGUGAUCCCCCACACUGGUACUGAGACACGGACCAGACUCCUACGGGAGGCAGCAGUGAGGAAUAUUGGUCAAUGGGCGCAAGCCUGAACCAGCCAUCCCGCGUGAAGGAAGAAGGCGCUAUGCGUUGUAAACUUCUUUUCCAGGGGAAGAAAACCAGAUACGAGUAUCGGCUUGCCGGUACCCUGGGAAUAAGCAUCGGCUAACUCCGUGCCAGCCGCCGCCGUAAGAC
rnacentral:rRNA from 1 species